GCCUACCGUGGGCUGGCCGAGGCUGCGUCUAUGGCAGAGGAUACUCGGACCAUUUCAAAUCAGGCUAUCAGAGGAGCGAUGGGUGACAAAGAAGAGCCAGAGCUGGGAAGUAAGGUGUGAUUCGGAAGAUGGCCAUUGAGAUACCACAGCACCUGGGAUGUACUGUCACGUUAGAAUGAUACCGAGGGAAGCGUAGACCACGUGGGAAGAAGUGGAGGACGUCAGCCCAGUCCAGUGAGCUGUGCUGUAAGGUCAGGUGUGGAGUCUGAAAUGAGGUUAGCGUAAAGGACCGAGAUGAUGUGGUCACUCAGAAGCCAUCACCCCGAGAAGAUGAGCCGGAAUCUUCUGUACCUGAAAACAGCAAAGCUGCUUUUUUAACCUGAUUGAGGUUUGUAUCACAUGAUAUCGCUUACAUGUGGAAUGUUUAAAAAUGGGACCAAUGAACUUAUUUACAAACAGAAUAGACUCACAGACAAAGAAAACAGACUUGUCGUUCAAAGGGGAAAGUGAGGGAUGGGGGAUAAAUUAGGAGUUUGGGAUUAACAAAUACGCAUUACUGUAUAUAAAAUAGAUAAACAAAAAGGACCUACUGUAGAGCACAGGGAACUAUAUUCAAUGACUUAUAAUAACCCAUAAUGGAAAAGAAUCUGAAUAUAUAAUGUAUGUAUAACUGAAUUACUUUGCUGUGCACCUAAAAUAUGUCUCCUGUCUGCGUCCAGAUUUCCCUCUUUUUAUAGGGACAAGAGUCACAGUGGAUCCAUUUAGGAUCCACCCUAACCCAGUAUAACUUCGUUUUAGCUUGAUUACAUCUUCA